UUUUUUUUCCCCCUUCUUUCUCUCUCUCUCUCUCUCUCUCUCUCUCCAUCCAUCUAUAUGCAACUCAUCAAGACCAGUAGGAGAAGAGAGAGAGUACAGCUUCUGAGUGACCUCUAAAUUUGUUUCCCUGCAGUUAUAUAUGAACAUCAUAUAUGAUAUCAGUUUAUGAAGCUGUACCCUCUCUCUUCCUCUGCUUAUCUUUGAUGAUCAAUCCUCAAUAUUAUAUUCUAUCUCUCUCAUCAACAGCUUUUAUAUAUAUAUAUAUAUGUAUGUAUGUAUAAAAUUAUUUUAAUUUAGCUACGAUGAGUACAUGUAAUUCGAAUAAUAUAUCACUGAAUUUCAUUUACUUGUAUUUUAUAGAAAUUUUCACCUAUUUGGUAUGUAAUCAAACGCCAAUCUGACAAUAUAAGUUGUCUGGUAUAAUAAAUUUUUUGAUGAGUAUGUAUAUAUCUAUAAAUUAAAUUUGGCAAGUUUUAUGACAGUUAUUUUUUUUAAAAUUGGCAAGUUUUAUGCGAGUUAAUUUACAUAAAAAUUUUGCAGAAAAAUGAAUGCAUGUUUUAUGCUUUUUAGGUUGAGAACCUAACUAGAUGCAGUACUUGAACUUACCUGACGAAUGAUGGAGGAAAAGACUACUUUUGUAUGCAUUGAUGGAUGUGUGUGGUUUUCUAGCAACUUUCUAGUACAGGUUUCCAGCUGCUCAGAACCAUGGACAAAGAAAGCGGGGAGAUACCUGUGGCGUUUGUGGUUAAGAAACAUGGAAGCUCGCUUACAGAGGCAGAUGCUAUGGAUUAUGUUGCUGCAAAGCAAACUUUCAAUCAAAAGCAUUGAAAACCAUGACUGCAACCACGGUGUGCUGUUAUACAUAGUGCCAUCACCAAAUGCCGGGACAUCUUCUCCAGCCGGCCUCCCCCCAGCCAAAUGGAAUGAAGUUGAAGUUAUAAAUGUUCUUUUAUUCUGUUCACUGUCAUGAUGAGCAUGCCCUAAAUAAGUUUCUCACAUUUGUGUUUUUUUACCAUAUACCUUUGAAUUUGAUCUCUCAUAAUAUGCCCUAAAUAAGUUUCUCACAUUUGGGUUUUUUACCAUAUACCUUUGAAAUGAUCUCUCAUAAUUGCGUGCACAAACAAUGAGGCCCAUGGUAGGUAGGAAGUCUGGGUUUUGAAGAUAGACAUGGGUUUGAUGGAGCUGUUUCUUGAAGAAGGGUUCCAGGGGAAGGGUUGAAAGAAGCCAAGGAAGUAGAGAAGGCAGUGCUGCAGAUCAGAACAUGGUGGGCAAGUUUCCAACACAUAAAAGGUCAAAAAGCUUUUUAAUGGAGUUUUCUUAUUGGUUCUAAGUGGAUAAGGAUAAAGAAAGCAUGAUGUAUCAUAAACAGUGGGGUCAAACUUUAGUACAAAAGCUUUAUUGACUGUCGGCCGACUGAUAUGCCUGCCUUUUUUUUUUUUUUUUUUUGGGGGUAAAUAAAAUCUUGCUAUGCUUAAUAUCAAAGAACAAAACAACACUAUAUUUUCAUGUAAAAAUGACAAAAAUAAUUAUAAAGUGCAACAGAAAUUGGACAUUUUGCUAUUAUAUAAAACCCAAAAAUAUCAGUCUAUUUAUAAUAAAAAUUAGGUGUCAACUCAAGUAUAUAAUGUCAAUUAACUUUUCUUGGCCUCCUUUGGAACUUGAAAUUAAUUUCUUCAUAAUAUUGUAAAAAAUGUGAUUUUUAUUUUUUUUUUUCGUAAAAUACGUAAAAUGUGAUUCAGUUGUGCAUAUUGUAAACAAUGUUUUUAUGCUUCUGCAGGAGGGUUAUUAUGAGAAAUGUUAACAAAACAAAGGGUAAUUUUAAUUGGUUCUUGUAGUUUGCUCGUUAGAUUUUCGAAAACUGAAUCUCUUUAAAAGUUAUUGCUUGUGGAGGUGGCAGUUCUUAAUUCAGAUUCUUCAUGUCUUAACACUAGAAAUUUGUCGAAUAUUUUACCGAAAUAUAAUUAUAAGAGUGCAUUUCAGUAAUAUACAUAUAUAUAUAUAUAUAUAUAUAUAUUAUUAGAAUGCAGAACUAUAUUUUCACAAAACACUACAUAACAUGCAUGUUUAGCUACACUAUGCAUUCCCUCUUCUCUAUUGAGAAAAAGAAAGAAAAGAGGACUGCAAAUUCCAUCAAAAGAUGAGACUUAAAACAUGGAUACAUAUAAUAUAUAUAUAUAUAUAUACACACACACACACACAUCAAAAA